rnacentral:hammerhead_ribozyme from 1 species
AUCCAGUGACGAGUCCCAAAUAGGACGAAAUUCGCGUUAUCCUGGAU